AUCCGCGUGGUGGACUCGAGCAGGUCCAGCUCGGGCUUGGACAGCCUGCCGGGGCGGGGCUCGGCGGGCUCGGGCUCCGGCUGCGGGGC
rnacentral:tRNA from 1 species